rnacentral:rRNA from 1 species
GAUGAACGCUAGCGGCAGGCCUAAUACAUGCAAGUCGAACGGGUGGUAGCAAUACCACUAGUGGCGCACGGGUGCGUAACGCGUAACCAACCUGCCCUUGACUGGGGGAUAGCCCGCCGAAAGGCGGAUUAAUACCGCAUAAACUCACAGUGUGGCAUCACACAAUGAGUAAAGAUUUAUUGGUCAAGGAUGGGGUUGCGUGACAUUAGCUAGUUGGCGGGGUAACGGCCCACCAAGGCGACGAUGUCUAGGGGAGCUGAGAGGCUGAUCCCCCACACUGGCACUGAGAUACGGGCCAGACUCCUACGGGAGGCAGCAGUAGGGAAUAUUGGGCAAUGGGCGAGAGCCUGACCCAGCCAUGCCGCGUGCCGGAUGAAGGCCUUCUGGGUUGUAAACGGCUUUUCUCAGGGAAGAAAAAGGGUAUGCGUACCACACUGACGGUACCUGAGGAAUAAGCACCGGCUAACUCC